GCCUACAUCUUUCUCCCCAGCUGGAUGUUUCCUGCCCUUGAACAUCGGACUCCAAAUUCUUCAGCUUUUGGACUGUUGGACUUACACCAGUGAUUUGCCAGGGGCUCUCGGGCCUUCGGCCACAGACUGAAGGCUGCACUGUCGGCUUCCCUACUUUUCAGACUGGCUUCCUUGCUCCUCAGCUUGCAAGCAGCCUAUUGUGGGACUUCAUCUUGUGAUUGUCCACACUUCAAGCAUGGAAUAGCCACACAUGGUUGGUGGCUACUGUGUUGGACAGAGCAGGAUUAAUAUUAUGGCUGACCAUGUCAAGACAUAAAGCUUGUGAAACUGGAGCUAUACGGUCCAAUACUGGAGCACAGGUUCUUACACUGAACUAAGAAGAAUAUUGUUUGGUGGAAAGAAUUUUGAAGAAGAGGAGAGGAUGAGUUAAAGAGACAAGGACAGAGAAACAUCUUCAUAAGUUGCAGAUGGAGAAACAAUUUAUUCAGGUUUUGAACAAAAUGUGGAAGUGC